rnacentral:rRNA from 1 species
AUGCACUCUCCACCCCGAAGGCCAAGAUCGCCGACUCGCCGGAUCCACCUCGACAGCGACUCCACCGCAUCAUCAGAUCCACGAGCUCGUCGCGAUCAGCGCCAAGUUCUUCAUCAACGACAGCAAGAAGACACUCGUACUCGCAUCGAGCGCCGAAGAGAAGCGCGGCGUCAAUCGGACCAGCGCGCUGGGCCCUCUGUCAACAUGCAUGCACCAGGGGAACCAGGCGACUUGCCGUACGCGGUAGGUUGCCCUGCGUUCACUCGUGAGCUGCGGCAAGUCCAGUGGCCCAGCACGAAGAAUUUCAAGCCAGAUGUACCAGAGAAGUACGACGGCAAGUCGCAUCCGUCGGAGUUCCUUAGCAUCUACACCAUCGCGGUGCAAGCUGCCGGGGGGCGGGACGACAAGAUCCUGGCCAACUACUUCCCGCUGGUGCUCAAGCCCAAUGUCAGAUCCUGGCUCAUGCACUUGCCGGACAACUCCAUAUCCUCCUAG